AGCUAAUUAGCUAGCCUACCUAACAACCCAAUCAAAUACUUCUACUAACCCCUAAUACACUAAAAAUAUUCAACUAAACCAUUCAUCUUCCCUAGUAUAGGCGAUAGAAAAGGAAUAAAAGAGCAACAGAUAUCAGUACCGCAAGGGAAAGCUGAAAGAGAGGUGAAAAAGACCAAUAAAGCUAAGAAAAGCAGAGAUUACCCC
rnacentral:rRNA from 1 species